GGGAGGGGUAGUUUAAUCCCAAAGCCAAGGACAAGGGCCAUGGACAGAGAAGGUACUGGGGUCUUUGCUGCUGUGAUCACAGCAGUGCAGCAGGCAGGCUACAGAAACAGGUCUGGAUGGGACCCACCAUUUACUGCUGAGGUUUUACAUGGGAUCCCUUCCCAGAAAUCCCCCCACCCAACCCUAGGUCACACCACAACCUUCUUGCUUUCUCUCAGCUCUUUGCCAAGGGCCAGAAAUCUCUGCAGUGCGGCCCUCCUGCUGCUAAUGGCUUCUCUGUCUCUCUUAGGGAUUGUGCGCCAGGAGACCUCACUAGCUUCUUCCGAUGAUGUUCUCAGUGCCCCCAGUCCUAGCCAUGCAGACGACAGUGACACAGCUCUGCAGCCCCUUUCACAGGGACUCCACAGCCACUGUGUUCUGCCGUGUCUUUUCCUGAUCACUGGCAAGCACUGGAGAUGGUGCGAAGAACUUCAUACCCCAUUAUGCCCCUACUCAGUCCUCACCAAGACCUGCAGAGGACACGAAGGCUUGGCCAAGCUUGUGCCAAUUGUGCCUCGCUCAAUGAAGAAGCCAGGAUUGGAACUCAAGCCUACCUGAUACCAGAGUCACUUCUUGAAUCUGAGAACCAUUCUCAGAGUGGAGCCACCCUCCCAACCUGGCCCCUGCUUCCUGGAGGUCCUUCUCAAAACAUCUGUGGACUUUUGUCCCAGGCCAUUCUUCUUAGUUGACUUUAAUCUCCUUCAUCUGGAGCCCCACACGAGGAAACAACUCAGUGGACCCCCCCAUAACAUUUAGAGGUUAGAGCUGUUUGUUACACAGCUCUACCAUAGCCAUUGCUGACUGAGGCAUACACCCUCCUGGACUGGGCAGUGUUUUCCUGAAUGUCCAUCUCUGCAGUAAUCUAGAGUGAGGUCCUACUAAGUGCUCUGCCCAGAUGAGUUCUUUGGUCCAUCGUUAUGUCAGCAAAACCUGGCACAUAGUGAAGGUAGAGACCAGGAGUGACUUUCCCAUUGCGUGAGCGACGCCUGAAUAACGUUAACAGUAAUGAGUUUCUAGGUGCUGCAAAGUAGUUGCUUUUUUUUCCUCAUUCAUUUUUCAGUGUAUAAAGCAAUGGCUGCAUUGUGACACUUAGAUGCACAGAUGUCAUCUUACUCGGUUCAUAUUCAUGCUCCCGCAUUACUCUAAGUUACUGCUCACUUCAUA
rnacentral:lncRNA from 1 species